rnacentral:misc_RNA from 1 species
GAUGAAGAACGUAGCAAAAUGCGAUAAGUAAUGUGAAUUGCAGAAUUCAGUGAAUCAUCGAAUCUUUGAACGCACAUUGCGCCCGCCAGUAUUCUGGCGGGCAUGCCUGUUCGAGCGUCAUUUCAACCCUCAAGCACAGCUUGGUGUUGGGACUCGCGUUAAUUCGCGUUCCCCAAAUUGAUUGGCGGUCACGUCGAGCUUCCAUAGCGUAGUAGUAAAACCCUCGUUACUGGUAAUCGUCGCGGCCACGCCGUUAAACCCCAACUUCAGAAUGUUGACCUCGGAUCAGGUAGGAAUACCCGCUGAACUUAAGCAUAUCAAUAAGCGGAGGA